CGGGAGUUACGUCAAUUUGGUAGACGGCGUGCCUUGGACGCACGAGGCUGUGGGUUCGAAUCCCGCACUUCCGACCA
rnacentral:tRNA from 1 species